rnacentral:tRNA from 1 species
GGACCGGUGGUGUAGUGGUAACACACUGCGCCCGGACGUGAACAGGUAUGGUUCGAUUCCGUACAGGUCCC